UUAAGCGACUAAGCGUACACGGUGGAUGCCCUGGCAGUCAGAGGCGAUGAAGGACGUGCUAAUCUGCGAUAAGCGUCGGUAAGGUGAUAUGAACCGUUAUAACCGGCGAUUUCCGAAUGGGGAAACCCAGUGUGUUUCGACACACUAUCAUUAACUGAAUCCAUAGGUUAAUGAGGCGAACCGGGGGAACUGAAACAUCUAAGUACCCCGAGGAAAAGAAAUCAACCGAGAUUCCCCCAGUAGCGGCGAGCGAACGGGGAGGAGCCCAGAGCCUGAAUCAGUAUGUGUGUUAGUGGAAGCGUCUGGAAAGGCGCGCGAUACAGGGUGACAGCCCCGUACACAAAAAUGCACAUGCUGUGAGCUCGAUGAGUAGGGCGGGACACGUGGUAUCCUGUCUGAAUAUGGGGGGACCAUCCUCCAAGGCUAAAUACUCCUGACUGACCGAUAGUGAACCAGUACCGUGAGGGAAAGGCGAAAAGAACCCCGGCGAGGGGAGUGAAAAAGAACCUGAAACCGUGUACGUACAAGCAGUGGGAGCACGCUUAGGCGUGUGACUGCGUACCUUUUGUAUAAUGGGUCAGCGACUUAUAUUCUGUAGCAAGGUUAACCGAAUAGGGGAGCCGAAGGGAAACCGAGUCUUAACUGGGCGUUAAGUUGCAGGGUAUAGACCCGAAACCCGGUGAUCUAGCCAUGGGCAGGUUGAAGGUUGGGUAACACUAACUGGAGGACCGAACCGACUAAUGUUGAAAAAUUAGCGGAUGACUUGUGGCUGGGGGUGAAAGGCCAAUCAAACCGGGAGAUAGCUGGUUCUCCCCGAAAGCUAUUUAGGUAGCGCCUCGUGAAUUCAUCUCCGGGGGUAGAGCACUGUUUCGGCAAGGGGGUCAUCCCGACUUACCAACCCGAUGCAAACUGCGAAUACCGGAGAAUGUUAUCACGGGAGACACACGGCGGGUGCUAACGUCCGUCGUGAAGAGGGAAACAACCCAGACCGCCAGCUAAGGUCCCAAAGUCAUGGUUAAGUGGGAAACGAUGUGGGAAGGCCCAGACAGCCAGGAUGUUGGCUUAGAAGCAGCCAUCAUUUAAAGAAAGCGUAAUAGCUCACUGGUCGAGUCGGCCUGCGCGGAAGAUGUAACGGGGCUAAACCAUGCACCGAAGCUGCGGCAGCGACGCUUAUGCGUUGUUGGGUAGGGGAGCGUUCUGUAAGCCUGUGAAGGUGUGCUGUGAGGCAUGCUGGAGGUAUCAGAAGUGCGAAUGCUGACAUAAGUAACGAUAAAGCGGGUGAAAAGCCCGCUCGCCGGAAGACCAAGGGUUCCUGUCCAACGUUAAUCGGGGCAGGGUGAGUCGACCCCUAAGGCGAGGCCGAAAGGCGUAGUCGAUGGGAAACAGGUUAAUAUUCCUGUACUUGGUGUUACUGCGAAGGGGGGACGGAGAAGGCUAUGUUGGCCGGGCGACGGUUGUCCCGGUUUAAGCGUGUAGGCUGGUUUUCCAGGCAAAUCCGGAAAAUCAAGGCUGAGGCGUGAUGACGAGGCACUACGGUGCUGAAGCAACAAAUGCCCUGCUUCCAGGAAAAGCCUCUAAGCAUCAGGUAACAUCAAAUCGUACCCCAAACCGACACAGGUGGUCAGGUAGAGAAUACCAAGGCGCUUGAGAGAACUCGGGUGAAGGAACUAGGCAAAAUGGUGCCGUAACUUCGGGAGAAGGCACGCUGAUAUGUAGGUGAAGUCCCUUGCGGAUGGAGCUGAAAUCAGUCGAAGAUACCAGCUGGCUGCAACUGUUUAUUAAAAACACAGCACUGUGCAAACACGAAAGUGGACGUAUACGGUGUGACGCCUGCCCGGUGCCGGAAGGUUAAUUGAUGGGGUUAGCGGUAACGCGAAGCUCUUGAUCGAAGCCCCGGUAAACGGCGGCCGUAACUAUAACGGUCCUAAGGUAGCGAAAUUCCUUGUCGGGUAAGUUCCGACCUGCACGAAUGGCGUAAUGAUGGCCAGGCUGUCUCCACCCGAGACUCAGUGAAAUUGAACUCGCUGUGAAGAUGCAGUGUACCCGCGGCAAGACGGAAAGACCCCGUGAACCUUUACUAUAGCUUGACACUGAACAUUGAGCCUUGAUGUGUAGGAUAGGUGGGAGGCUUUGAAGUGUGGACGCCAGUCUGCAUGGAGCCGACCUUGAAAUACCACCCUUUAAUGUUUGAUGUUCUAACGUGGACCCGUAAUCCGGGUUGCGGACAGUGUCUGGUGGGUAGUUUGACUGGGGCGGUCUCCUCCUAAAGAGUAACGGAGGAGCACGAAGGUUGGCUAAUCCUGGUCGGACAUCAGGAGGUUAGUGCAAUGGCAUAAGCCAGCUUGACUGCGAGCGUGACGGCGCGAGCAGGUGCGAAAGCAGGUCAUAGUGAUCCGGUGGUUCUGAAUGGAAGGGCCAUCGCUCAACGGAUAAAAGGUACUCCGGGGAUAACAGGCUGAUACCGCCCAAGAGUUCAUAUCGACGGCGGUGUUUGGCACCUCGAUGUCGGCUCAUCACAUCCUGGGGCUGAAGUAGGUCCCAAGGGUAUGGCUGUUCGCCAUUUAAAGUGGUACGCGAGCUGGGUUUAGAACGUCGUGAGACAGUUCGGUCCCUAUCUGCCGUGGGCGCUGGAGAACUGAGGGGGGCUGCUCCUAGUACGAGAGGACCGGAGUGGACGCAUCACUGGUGUUCGGGUUGUCAUGCCAAUGGCACUGCCCGGUAGCUAAAUGCGGAAGAGAUAAGUGCUGAAAGCAUCUAAGCACGAAACUUGCCCCGAGAUGAGUUCUCCCUGACCCUUUAAGGGUCCUGAAGGAACGUUGAAGACGACGACGUUGAUAGGCCGGGUGUGUAAGCGCAGCGAUGCGUUGAGCUAACCGGUACUAAUGAACCGUGAGGCUUAACCUU
rnacentral:rRNA from 1 species